rnacentral:rRNA from 1 species
AGUGAACGUUGGCGGCGUGGAUUAGGCAUGCGAGUCGAGCGAGAACCGUAGCAAUACGGGGACAGCGGCGAAAGGGACAGUAAUAUGUAGGUACCUACCCUCGGGUCCGGGAUAGCUGCGGGAAACUGCAGGUAAUACCGGAUGACAUCUCCGGAUCAAAGGUGUGAUUCCGCCCGGGGAGGGGCCUGCAUCCUAUUAGCUAGUUGGCGGGGUAACGGCCCACCAAGGCGACGAUGGGUAGCGGGUGUGAGAGCACGACCCGCGUCAUUGGGAAUGAGACACUGCCCAGACACCGACGGGUGGCUGCAGUCGAGAAUCUUCGGCAAUGGGGGAAACCCUGACCGAGCGACGCCGCGUGCGGGAUGAAGGCCUUCGGGUUGUAAACCGCUGUCGUAGAGGAGGAAAUGCAGUGGGGUUCUCCCCUCUGUUUGACCUAGUCUAGGAGGAAGGACGGGCUAAGUUCGUGCCAGCAGCCGCGGUAA